rnacentral:rRNA from 1 species
UACGUAGGGUGCGAGCGUUAAUCGGAAUUACUGGGCGUAAAGCGUGCGCAGGCGGUUCGUUGUGUCUGAUGUGAAAGCCCCGGGCUCAACCUGGGAAUGGCAUUGGAAACUGGCGAGCUAGAGUGUGGCAGAGGGGGGUGGAAUUCCGCGUGUAGCAGUGAAAUGCGUAGAGAUGCGGAGGAACACCGAUGGCGAAGGCAGCCCCCUGGGCCAACACUGACGCUCAGGCACGAAAGCGUGGGGAGCAAACAGG